AGGUUACUGCUAUCCGAAUUCGACUAAGCUAUGCGAGUCCUGGGUUAAACCCGGGCGCACUGCUCAGUAACACGUAGUUAAUCUGCCCUUAGAAUCGGUCUAAUCCCGGGAAACUGGGGCCGAGGACCGGAUAGGUAAGGGGUACUGGAAUGUCCCUUUACUCAACUAAGGAUGAGACUGCGGCCUAUCAGGUUGUUGCCAGGGUAAAGUCCUGGCGAGCCUAUAACAGGUACGGGCCUUGAGAGAGGAAGCCCGGAGUUGGAUUCUGAGACAUGAAUCCAGGCCCUACGGGGUGCAGCAAGCGCGAAACAUCCGCAAUGCCCGCAAGGGUGACGGUGGAAUUUGGAGUGCUUUCUCCGAUAGGAGGGAGCGUGUGUCAAGUCUAGAUAGCUUGGCGAAUAAGUGGUGGGUAAGACGGGUGCCAGCCGCCGCGGUAAUACCCGCGCCACGAGUUGUAACCAUUAUUAUUGGGUUUAGAGCGUUCGUAGCCGGCCUUGAAAGUUUCCGAUGAAAUCCCGCAGCUAACUGUGGGGCUUGUCGGGGAUACUGCAGGGCUUGGGACCGGGAGAGGUCAAAGGUAUUCCUGGGGUAGGAGUAAAAUCCUAUAAUCCCAGGAGGACCAGCUGUGGCGAAGGCGUUUGACUAGAACGGAUCNGACGGUGAGGGACGAAAGCCAGGGGAGCAAAGCGGAUUAGAUACCCGCGUAGUCCUGGCUGUAAACGAUGCCCACUAGACAUUGAUAACCCCAUGCGGGUUACCAGAGUCGUAGGGAAACCGUUAAGUGGGCCACCUGGGGAGUACGGUCGCAAGGCUGAAACUUAAGGGAGUUGGCGGGGGGGCACACAAGGGGUGGAGGCUGCGGUUCAAUUGGAUUCAACGCCAGGAACCUUACCAGGGGCGACAGCAGAAUGAAGGUCAGGUUGAAGGUCUUACCAGACAAGCUGAGAAGUGGUGCAUGGCCGUCGUCAGUUCGUGCCGUGAGGUGUCGACUUAAGUGUCGUAACGAACAAGACCCGUGCCCUAUGUUGCUAUCCUUGCUUAUGUGGGGAGCACUCAUGGGGGACCGCUGCUGAUAAAGCAGAGGAAGGUGCGGUCGACGGCAGGUCCGUAUGCUCUGAAUCCCCUGGGUUACACGCGGCCUACAAUGGCUGGUACAAUGGGAUGCGACCCCGAAAGGGGGAGCCAAUCUCCAAAACCAGUCUCAGUCCGGAUCGAGGGUUGCAACUCACCCUCGUGAAGCCGAAAUCCCUAGUAGUCGCUGGUCAUCAUCUAGCGACGAAUAAGUUCCUGUUCCUUGCACACACUGCCCGUCAAGCCAACCGAGUGGGACUUUGACGAGCCGCGGGUUCUUGCCCGCGUCAAGUCACGGUUUUGUAAGGUGGGCU
rnacentral:rRNA from 1 species